UUAUGGCUCAGGAUGAACGCUGGCGGCGUGCCUAAUACAUGCAAGUGAAACGGGUAUCUUCGGAUACCAGUCGCGGACGGGUGAGUAAUACAUAGGCAACCUGCCUUUAUGAGGGGGAUAACCGAGGGAAACCUUGGCUAAUACCGCAUGAAGACUCUAAGGCAUCUUAGAGGGAUAAAAGUUGGGAAACAACGCAUGAAGAUGGGCUUAUGGCGCAUUAGCUAGUUGGUGAGAUAGAAGCCCACCAAGGUAAUGAUGCGUAGCCGACCUGAGAGGGUGAACGGCCACAUUGGGACUGAGACACGGCCCAAACUCCUACGGGAGGCAGCAGUAGGGAAUUUUCGGCAAUGGGGGGAACCCUGACCGAGCAACGCCGCGUGAAGGAAGAAGGUUUUCGGAUUGUAAACUUCUGUUAUAAGGGAAGAACGGAUUGGAUAGGGAAUGAUCUGAUAGUGACGGUACCUUAUUAGAAAGCCACGGCUAACUACGUGCCAGCCGCCGC
rnacentral:rRNA from 1 species